rnacentral:rRNA from 1 species
GACGAACGCUGGCGGCGUGCUUAACACAUGCAAGUCGAGCGGAAAGGCCCUUCGGGGUACUCGAGCGGCGAACGGGUGAGUAACACGUGAGUAACCUACCUCGAACUCUGGGAUAAGCCUGGGAAACUGGGUCUAAUACCGGAUGUUCAUCUCCUGCUGCAUGGUGGGGGAUGGAAAGUGUUUAGCGGUUCGGGAUGGGCUCGCGGCCUAUCAGCUUGUUGGUGAGGUAAUGGCUUACCAAGGCUUUUACGGGUAGCCGGCCUGAGAGGGCGACCGGCCACACUGGGACUGAGAUACGGCCCAGACUCCUACGGGAGGCAGCAGUGGGGAAUUUUGGACAAUGGGGGAAACCCUGAUCCAGCCAUCCCGCGUGUGCGAUGAAGGCCUUCGGGUUGUAAAGCACUUUUGUCAGGGAAGAAAAGGUUUUGGCUAAUAUCCGAGACUGAUGACGGUACCUGAAGAAUAAGCACCGGCUAACUACGUGCCAGCAGCCGCGGUAAUACGUAGGGUGCGAGCGUUGUCCGGAAUUACUGGGCGUAAAGAGCUUGUACGCGGUUUGUCGCGUCGAUCGUGAAAACUCGCAGCUCAACUGUGAGCGUGCGGUCGAUACGGGCGGGCUAGAGUUCUGCAGGGGAGACUGGAAUUCCUGGUGUAGCGGUGAAAUGCGCAGAUAUCAGGAGGAACACCGGUGGCGAAGGCGGUCUCUGGGCAGUAACUGACGCUGAGAAGCGAAAGCGUGGGUAGCGAACAGGAUUAGAUACCCUGGUAGUCCACGCCGUAAACGGUGGGUACUAGGUGUGGGUUCCCUUCCACGGGAUCCGUGCCGUAGCUAACGCAUUAAGUACCCCGCCUGGGGAGUACGGCCGCAAGGCUAAAACUCAAAGGAAUUGACGGGGGCCCGCACAAGCGGCGGAGCAUGUGGAUUAAUUCGAUGCAACGCGAAGAACCUUACCUGGGUUUGACAUACACCGGUAACCUGCAGAGAUGUAGGCCCCCUUGUGGUCGGUGUACAGGUGGUGCAUGGCUGUCGUCAGCUCGCGUCGUGAGAUGUUGGGUUAAGUCCCGCAACGAGCGCAACCCUUAUCUUAUGUUGCCAGCGCGUUAUGGCGGGGACUCGUGAGAGACUGCCGGGGUCAACUCGGAGGAAGGUGGGGACGACGUCAAGUCAUCAUGCCCCUUAUGUCCAGGGCUUCACACAUGCUACAAUGGCUGGUACAGAGGGCUGCGAUACCGUGAGGUGGAGCGAAUCCCUUAAAGCCGGUCUCAGUUCGGAUCGGGGUCUGCAACUCGACCCCGUGAAGUUGGAGUCGCUAGUAAUCGCAGAUCAGCAACGCUGCGGUGAAUACGUUCCCGGGCCUUGCACACACCGCCC